UGUUUUGAAGGGGGAAUGCCUGCAACAAUAGCAUGGUGUUGGCGAAAAUUGCUAUUUAGGUCUUCAAGCGUUGGCCUUGCCUUGCACUAUAGAACGGUGUUGGCGCACCCUACAAACUUAGUUCAAAUGUUUAGGAAUGGCUUCUGGCUCUACUAUUUGAUGUGAUUAUCUACAACAGUAAUGCGAUGAAGGAGAACAAAGAAACAAUCAUUACAAAUAGAUCGUGCCCUCAGUUCGAUGGUCAAUAGACAGUUCAAAACUAAAUAUAACACUUUUUUUUUUCAUUAUAAUGUAUAACUUGGUCAUCAAGAGGCCCUAAAAUAAAACCAGAAAUUUGCGGGCACCUUGAACUCGAAUGCGAUUUUAACCUUGAGAUCAUUGGUGUGAACAAAGACCCUAAUACCUCUGUCGGUGUCAUGACGAAGGAAGCCAUUGUUCAGGUAUAUAUUUCAAUCUUGUUUGAUGAUAUAUGACAUCUAUAAUUCAAAGAUCCAUACCUCAUGCUCGUGUUUAUUUAUGUUUUAUAUAAAUUUCAGGUGAAUGCCAGUGAACUUCGUCUAGUCACACCUAACGGGAAAGUUGUAUGGGGGGAAAAUGGGAAAUAUGCUCAUGUGACGAAUAUUCCUGGGACUGAUGGUUCCAUAAUAACAGUUCUUCUUUAAGAGGGGUUCGUUGGCAAAUUUCACCAAAGCUAGUUUUAAACUUCGAAAUCCUUUGAUUGUACAUGUAUUAAUUCCACUCAUACAUGUAUGUAUGUUUUUUCUAUGUGUAUUAUUUUCACUCGUACAUUUAUGUAUAUUUUUCUUGUCUAAAGUCUAAGGUCGAUUUGGGUUAAGCAAAAUAAUUUAAGCUAGCUGCUGGAGCCCCAAAUUACUUAUACAAUGGUUAUAUCGGAGCUUCUGCUAUCCACCUAGGUGGGGGUCACCGCAUACAAGUGCUGACAGAACAGUGGCAAACCAAAAAACCCAGUCGGAGAGGAGGCUCAGGCUGCGUGGUGGUUUCGUUGCCCAAAACGCGAGGUGGUCGUGCUAGCUGGCUUGGUGGCUUGUGGGUGGGGCUGGGGUCGAUCUUCCCACGACCGGAAGGCGGACAGCAAGAGGCGGCGUCACCUAGUGGAGCGAAGACGGGAUCUGAUUGGCUCAGAUCGGAUCGGAGGGAUUCGAUCUGGUCUGUGUUGCGUGGAACCGUCGGGUAGAGAGGGGUGGCUGGGGGUGUGGGCGAUGCCUGCUGGUGUGUUGGGGAGGACGGAAGGAUGGAGGGGUUGCCUGAGUUUGCUCGAUGCUGUGACGGCGGUCUGAGGCUGGAAAGUUUCCACUGUGCAUGGCGGUUUCUAGUCGAAUUUUCCAACUUCGACCACGACUGCUUCUACUUGAUAGGUUCAGAAACCGAAAUGAAAUGAGUGGCUGUCGUUCUGCCACGUCACCAGGUGAGAACCACCUAGGUGGAUAGCAGAAUUUUCGUGGUUAUAUUUGUAAGAUCGAUAUGAGUUAUUUUGCUUAUAAAUCUUCUCGAGUGGAGUGUUGUGUGGUCUUUGCUUUGUAAAGCGUGCAGGAUAGAUCAAGCAUAUUUUUUGUUUUUUAGAAGAUCAAGCAUAUUUAUUAGAGGUUAGGAUCAAGGGAUGUAACCUAUAGUUUCGAGUUCGCAAAGCUCCACCAUCUGAUGUGACAAUAAUAUGAAAAUAUUAAUAUAUCAGCUUUCUUAAAAUUAAAAAAAUUAAAUAAUAAAUAAAUAAACACGUCUUACCG